rnacentral:lncRNA from 1 species
AUAAUAGAAAUUCUAAUAUAAUCCUCAUUAAAAUUCUAAUUAAAUUUUAACCAAAUCUUAAGUAAAAUUUUAAUUGAAAUCUUUAAAUAAUCCUAAUCAAAUUCUAAUCAAGUUCUAAAUCAAAUUCUAAUCAAGUUCUAAGUCAAAUCCUAAUCCUAAUCAAAUCCUAGAUCAAAUCCUAAGCCCUAACCUAACCAUAGA